rnacentral:tRNA from 1 species
GGAGAUGUGGCUCAAGUGGUAGUGCGCUCGCCUGGCAUGCGUGCAGUCCGGGUUCGAUCCCCAGCACCUCAU